rnacentral:rRNA from 1 species
GAUCCUGGCUCAGGAUGAACGCUGGCGGCGUGCUUAACACAUGCAAGUCGAACGAUGAAGCCCAGCUUGCUGGGUGGAUUAGUGGCGAACGGGUGAGUAACACGUGAGUAACCUGCCCCUGACUCUGGGAUAAGCCCGGGAAACUGGGUCUAAUACCGGAUAUGACCAUGGGACGCAUGUCUUGUGGUGGAAAGAUUUAUCGGUUGGGGAUGGACUCGCGGCCUAUCAGCUUGUUGGUGAGGUAAUGGCUCACCAAGGCGACGACGGGUAGCCGGCCUGAGAGGGUGACCGGCCACACUGGGACUGAGACACGGCCCAGACUCCUACGGGAGGCAGCAGUGGGGAAUAUUGCACAAUGGGCGCAAGCCUGAUGCAGCGACGCCGCGUGAGGGAUGACGGCCUUCGGGUUGUAAACCUCUUUCAGUAGGGAAGAAGCGAGAGUGACGGUACCUGCAGAAGAAGCGCCGGCUAACUACGUGCCAGCAGCCGCGGUAAU